UGGGGAAUAUUGCACAAUGGAGGGAACUCUGAUGCAGCGACGCCGCGUGAGUGAUGAAGGACUUCGUUUCGUAAAACUCUGUUCUAUGGGAAGAAAAGGACUGUACCAUAGGAGAAAGCUCCGGCUAAAUACGUGCCAGCAGCCGCGGUAAUACGUAUGGAGCGAGCGUUGUCCGGAAUUAUUGGGCGUAAAGGGUGCGCAGGCGGCUUUACAAGUUGGAUGUGAAAUAUUGUGGCUCAACCACAAACGUGCAUCCAAAACUGCAAAGCUUGAGUUAAGGAGAGGUAAGUGGAAUUCCUGGUGUAGCGGUGGAAUGCGUAGAUAUCAGGGGGAAUACCGGUGGCGAAGGCGACUUACUGGACUUAAACUGACGCUCAGGCACGAAAGCGUGGGGAGCAAACAGG
rnacentral:rRNA from 1 species